AGUGAACGCUGGCGGUAGGCCUAGCACAUGCCAGUCGAACGGCAGCACAGUAAGAGCUUGCUCUUACGGGUGGCGAGUGGCGGACGGGUGAGGAAUACAUCGGAAUCUACUUUUUCGUGGGGGAUAACGUAGGGAAACUUACGCUAAUACCGCAUACGACCUACGGGUGAAAGCAGGGGAUCUUCGGACCUUGCGCGAUUGAAUGAGCCGAUGUCGGAUUAGCUAGUUGGCGGGGUAAAGGCCCACCAAGGCGACGAUCCGUAGCUGGUCUGAGAGGAUGAUCAGCCACACUGGAACUGAGACACGGUCCAGACUCCUACGGGAGGCAGCAGUGGGGAAUAUUGGACAAUGGGCGCAAGCCUGAUCCAGCCAUACCGCGUGGGUGAAGAAGGCCUUCGGGUUGUAAAGCCCUUUUGUUGGGAAAGAAAAGCAGCAGGUUAAUACCCCGCUGUUCUGACGGUACCCAAAGAAUAAGCACCGGCUAACUUCGUG
rnacentral:rRNA from 1 species